rnacentral:tRNA from 1 species
GCGAUCGUAGUUCAGUGGCAGAAUUGCAGUGCAUCUCGGCGCUAGACACGCGGGAACCUUAACAGGCCGGAUCGAAUGCUGAGAUUGGUACCUGCAGACGGAGGUUCGAUUCCUUCCGGUCGCC